AGAACGGCUGCAGAGAACAACAGAUAUGGACGAGUGGAUUUCUUUAUUAUGCCGCUGAACAUUUGCAGUUGCACAGAUGAGUCCGACCCUGCGGCGGUGGUGCAGAAUCGGCUGCUCAGCUCCCCUGUAACCAGUUUACGGAUCAAACCUGGAGGGCCCGUGCUCGGCCCCGGGGGCCCUUCCUACAGCGCUACUCCGACUCAGACAGCGGGAGGAUUAAUGGAAUGUAAAUGUUGAUGGAUUAUUGAACAGGGAAAUGAUAAUGUUGGCCAGAGCACCCAUUAAAAAAAAACUUUAAAAAAACAGGCACUCAGAGUUGAUGAGUGUGUGUGUGUGUGUGUGUGUGUGUGUGUGGACGUGCGCGUUUGUAUGUGCAGACCGGAGGUUCAAAAGCUGCUUUUAAAUAGCUAAACAGGGAAGCCGAGGCAAAGCUGGUAAAAGCCAAAUACAGAGAAAUCAAUGGGACUCUUAAGUGGGUCAUCAAUACUCUAAAAAAUAGAAAAUCCACUGAUGUGCUGUAAUCAAAUCCCCAAUUGGAUAAUCAGAUUUAAUUACAAUGUUUUCUGUUUCUUUCUGUGUUUUCUUUCUGUUGUUGUAAUUCAGUCACAGACGCGUAUCAAGUGUCAAAAGCGGAGUGAGUGGCAAACCUCUGCUCUUUGUCUCAUUCAAUAGCUCCACAUUAAGUCAGCUCAAGUAAUUAAUUUCCAGCAGAAGGGAGGCACUCAUGGACUCAACACUAAAUGAGGAAAAAUGAUAUGCCGAAUAAUACGCAGCUUUAUGAAAAGCUAGAUGCCCCGGCUAAUAAGGUGUUUUUUUUUUUUCAUCCUCGGGAAAGAAUAAAGUCAGUCAAGAUGAAAUAAUAAAAUCUCAAAUCAAACCAUUUACGUUGUGGAUAAUUAAUUUUUUUUUUUUGUGAUGGCUUGUUUGAUGGUGUAUCUGACGGUGUGUGUCGGUGUGCCUGUCUCGCUGCACUCUGGAUUUAUCGACUGCGAUCUGCAGUCUUGGGAGAGAAUAAAGCAGGAGACAGGCA
ensembl:lncRNA